CACGUGGGUAAUCUGCCUCCGAGACCGGAAUAACUCUUCGAAAGGAGAACUAAUACCGGAUAAGCCCACGGCUCCUUCGGGAGCUGUGGGAAAAGAUGGCCUCUGUAUACAAGCUAUCACUUGGAGAUGAGCCCGCGGCCCAUCAUGCUAGUUGGCGGGGUAACGGCCCACCAAGGCUACGACGGGUAGCUGGCCUGAGAGGACGAUCAGCCACACUGGAACUGAGACACGGUCCAGACUCCUACGGGAGGCAGCAGUGGGGAAUCUUGCGCAAUGGGCGAAAGCCUGACGCAGCAACGCCGCGUGAGUGAUGAAGGCCCUCGGGUCGUAAAGCUCUUUCGGAAGGGACGAAACCGCUCCGGGCUAAUAUCCCGGAGCAUUGACGGUACCUUAAGAAGAAGCACCGGCUAACUCUGUGCCAGCAGCCGCGGUAAUACAGAGGGUGCAAGCGUUGUUCGGAAUUAUUGGGCGUAAAGCGCGUGUAGGCGGCAAGGCAUGUCGGGUGUGAAAGCCCUCGGCUUAACCGAGGAAGUGCGCCCGAAACUACUUUGCUUGAGUACCGGAGAGGAUGGCGGAAUUCCCGGUGUAGAGGUGAAAUUCGUAGAUAUCGGGAGGAACACCAGUGGCGAAG
rnacentral:rRNA from 1 species